UUUUNUCCUGGCUCAGGACGAACGCUGGCGGCGUGCCUAAUACAUGCAAGUCGAGCGGUCCCUUCGGGGAUAGCGGCGGACGGGUGAGUAACACGUAGGCAACCUGCCUGUAAGAUUGGGAUAACUAUCGGAAACGAUAGCUAAGACCAGAUAACUGGUUCUCUCGCAUGAGGGAAUCAUGAAACACGGGGUAACCUGUGGCUUACAGAUGGGCCUGCGGCGCAUUAGCUAGUUGGUAGGGUAACGGCCUACCAAGGCGACGAUGCGUAGCCGACCUGAGAGGGUGAUCGGCCACACUGGGACUGAGACACGGCCCAGACUCCUACGGGAGGCAGCAGUAGGGAAUCUUCCGCAAUGGACGCAAGUCUGACGGAGCAACGCCGCGUGAGUGAUGAAGGUUUUCGGAUCGUAAAGCUCUGUUGCCAGGGAAGAACGCCUAGGAGAGUAACUGCUCUUAGGGUGACGGUACCUGAGAAGAAAGCCCCGGCUAACUACGUGCCAGCAGCCGCGGUAAUACGUAGGGGGCAAGCGUUGUCCGGAAUUAUUGGGCGUAAAGCGCGCGCAGGCGGUCAUUUAAGUUUGGUGUUUAAGCCCGGGGCUCAACCCCGGAUCGCACUGAAAACUGGGUGACUUGAGUGCGGGAGAGGAAAGUGGAAUUCCACGUGUAGCGGUGAAAUGCGUAGAGAUGUGGAGGAACACCAGUGGCGAAGGCGACUUUCUGGACCGU
rnacentral:rRNA from 1 species